UCAGGGUGUACUUGGUACUUGUUUAAAAAUCCACAGUCUGUAGGCAUCUUCGGUUCUGCGGCUGUCACGUCAGAGAGCUGCUGGACACAUCAUGACAGGGAAAACACAACAGUGUGACGUUCACAUGAGGCUGUUCCCUUCAGCGCAGGAAAUAUUCUCAGUGUUCAGCGCCACGGGAGCAGAAUUACGGAUGUCCACAAAAAUUGGUUGGAGGUGGCCGGUAUCUAUGACCAUUUCAUGCCAUGUGGGGGAAAGGGCCCUGGGCUGCACCCUGCUGACUGCUCCACAACACAGGCCUGGCAGCAAGGCACCAAACAGCUGUAAGACUCACUCGCUGAUGUCACACAGUGUCAUUCAGAGUGCCAGCUGAAUCAUGCUCAGCAAGGAUUCCUGUAUCAACCCAAGUAUGUACUCUGUGACAAACCCUGGGCAAAAAUACACUAACUUGAAUUAUUUCAAGUGAAUACUGUGUGUCAAAAUGCAUGUUUUACUCAUUGUAUUCAAAAUAAAUUCUGACUAUUUUCCAAGACUAAUCCAUUAGAUGCUGCUAAAAUGCUUAAAA